GACGAACCGUGCAAACGUUGUUCGGAAUCACUGGCUUAAAGGGCGCGUAGGCGGGCAAGCAAGUCGAAGGUGAAAUCCCACGGCUCAACCGUGGAAGUGCCCCCGAUACUGCUUGUCUUGAGGGAGAUAGGGCGUGCGGAACUUCCGGUGGAGCGGUGAAAUGCGUAGAUAUCGGGAGGAACACCUGAGGCGAAGGCGGGCUACUGGGCCGAUACGUGACGCUGACUGCGCGAAAGCCAGGGGAGCGAACGGG
rnacentral:rRNA from 1 species